ensembl:lncRNA
AUGGGCUGGGAAACUAGGAGAGCUCGUAUUAUCAAGUGUUCCAGUAAAAAAAGGGAUUGCCUCCCAGAGAAACUGAGCUGUGUGUAUGAGCUGGUUUAUGCAUUGUCUUUACAGGAACAUGGGUGGCCCAGAGCUAUCAAGAGCUGCCCUGAAUGUUGGUCUGAGAGCACCCAGUCUAGACAGUCCCAGUGUGAGAUCCUCUGGAUCCCCUCUGCUCCUCUCUACAACAAAAGGAGAAUAGGAUGGGAAGAUGCAGUGCUGGAAGCAAGGUACCUUAUAGCUAAGACUGCAGAGCUUCAGGUCUUCAGUCAAAUGAGGACAGCCUCAGGAAUGAUGCUGUAUAUCAGUGGGGACAGGCCUGGUGUCCUGCUCUCAGUGGGCAGUGCACAUCUUUUGAAGGCAAAAUCAUCUUGGCAGUGUUAUAAACAUGGUUCUUGCUGGUGCAACACAAGAAAGCAUCCCUUCUUCUGAGCUGUUGCAUCAAGUUGAUGGAUUUUUGCUGUGGUAUGAGUUAACCAUUUUCUUUCUUUUGCAAUUGAAAUUGUUUGUAGCUCAAACUGUUAAACUACACAACAGUGCAGCGUAAAUGAACAGCUAUAUAGUGUGCUGGCAGAACAAAAGGAUCUUUACUCAUGUUGAAAGUAUCAGAAGCAAAAUUAAACUUCCCUACUUUGGGGGGGCUUGGUGGUCCAAGCCUGACUUAGUGUGUGUGUCAAAGCUGAGGGACAUGGAAGAUCUCCUCACCUCUUACUUAUACUGUGCAUCCCGACCAUGUCCUGCCUGAAGAUGUGUGUGUGUCAGCUGGCUGUGCAACAUGAGUUUCGUACGUUCUGGUUUCCUGUGGAGGGGAGCUUUGGUGUGUGGAUGGUCAGAGAGCCGUGAUGCAGAUAUCUCCCCACCAGGAUGCCCAGAGAAGCCAGACUGUCACAGUGCUGCCAAGUUAACUUGCACUGACUGUCAGGAAGAGCCAUGUGUCUUACGUGUGCAGGGGCUGCACUUCCAAAUUUCAGCUCCCAUUCACAGCUUCUCUGCAGGUCUUCCACAGAAAAUGCAUCCACAGGCAUCAAGUGAGAAAUUAACAUUGACAUUUUGACUCAGAAAUGAUACCUCAGUCAGUAUUGUUGGCCAUUGCUCUAGACAUUCAUACGUAAGGAAACCUUUCCCACACAGACUCUGAGUGUGUGGCAGGACUUUUCAUGUGGCACAGGAAAGUAGGUAUCUAGCUAAGGUUUCUGGCUCAAGAGAUUGGACAUCUUUAUAAGCUGUUUCUAGCCUCAGUCAAAAUACAUCCUCAUACAGUUGACAGGUCUCUAGGUGGAUGCCUGAUUGAUUUAGUUGGUGACUCGAAAGCAAAUGGUUUUGAUGACAAUUUCUCUGUUUCCUAGCAGGCUAGAAAAGUUUGUUCAACCUAACCGAAAGGUUAAAAACAGUUUGGGUCAAUGUUAAAUUAUUAGGAACCCAAAUUUCACUGUAAAAUCUCUAGAAGACGAAGAUCUGCUUUCUUUCCUCCUGGUCUUUGCAUUGAUUACAGUGGCUUUCGAUUAAGGUCCCGAACGAAUUUUUUGUUAACACUAAGUGCAUGCUGAGUAAGUACUUCCACAGCAAAAGGUUAAAGAGCUGGUAACUCAAAACAUUGAAGCUCUUCUUUUUCUCUGAAUCAAAAAGGAGCACCAGCUUCUUCAGGCAGCACUGCUGGAUUUGAGCUGUGGUUUUGGGGAGUCUGGGUACAGAAGAUGCAAACCUUCCCAGGCCGAACUGUUACAUCUCCUAUUCAACCACAAUAAGCUGGUGCGUGUGUGUGUGCUUGAGUGUGUGUGUGUGCUUGAGUGUGUGCGUGUGCUUGAGUGUGUGCGUGUGUGCAUGCUGUUUUCCUAAAGCAGGUUAAUGCUAGCUGUGUCUCUGUCUGCCUAAAGGUGCUCACUAUGGCAGCACAUGCCAAGUAACUUUCAACCUGGCUCUUUUUAGUGCCAGUAGCAGUAGUGCUGCUGAUGGACGCAUCAGCUGGUGUGAAUACCCUUAGCAUCCAGCUUGGCUGUUGCAGCCAAACUCAUGGUGCAAAGCCUUCAACAUUUUCAGCCAGCUCAGGUUAAAGCUACACAAAGGUCAAUUAUUACUGCCAGUUGCAGUGUAGGUAUAUCCCAAAUUUUCCAAACAUAUGCCACCCUGUAUUCUUAGUGCUCGUUCCAUAACAGUAGUUCACUGUAAAUGUGUAAUGCUUCCCCUCCUCCCUUUUUAUAUAACCUGUUCUUCAGUUGUGCUAAUCUCCAAAGACUCUGAAUUUAAAGAGCAGCCUCAUUGAUUUACCACCUAGAUCAAGGUAGAGGGAAAAAAAAAAAAAGUCUGGAAGCUAAUGUAGAUUAGAUUGAACAGUUAUGUGAGAAAUGCACAAAUAGUUAACAUUAAAAUGUGAAGAGCAAAUUAAUGGCAUAAUGUCAGAGUCACAGAGUCACUGGUGGUACAGCUAGAAAGGUUGAAAAUAAAUAAAUCCUCACUGAAUGUAGUCUGUUUCA